GCUCGAGUGGCGAACGGGUGAGUAACACGUGAGUAACCUGCCCUUGACUUUGGGAUAACUUCAGGAAACUGGGGCUAAUACCGGAUAGGAGCUCCUGCUGCAUGGUGGGGGUUGGAAAGUUUCGGCGGUUGGGGAUGGACUCGCGGCUUAUCAGCUUGUUGGUGGGGUAGUGGCUUACCAAGGCUUUGACGGGUAGCCGGCCUGAGAGGGUGACCGGCCACAUGGGACUGAGAUACGGCCCAG
rnacentral:rRNA from 1 species